GCGCAUCGUGAAGCACGCGUUCGACAUCAUCCACCUGCUGACGGACCAGAACCCCAUCCAGGUGGUGGUGGAUGCCAUCAUCAACAGGUGCGCGUGCUGUCGCCGUCAUGGGCACGGAGAGAAGUCAUUAUGGGAGAGAUUGGCACGGAGAGGGUGGGGGUGGUGUGAGGGUCGAGAGCGGCGAGGGCGUGCCUGCCUUCCAAGCGGACGGGCGGAGGCGCGGAGCGGGUGGAACGAGCAUGCAGCGCGAAUGCGGAGCUCUGGCGAACGCUUUUGUGUGUGGGAAGGGGGAUUAGAUACAGUAUGCAUGGCGUCUGGAGCACGCCUAUCGCCGGCUGGAGCUCGGCGGCCGGGCGGGCCUCAGCUGGCAGCAGCAGGGCAUCCAGCACAGGAGUGUCAGGCAGCCACAGCACCACAGCAGACAUGAUUGCCGGUCGGCGAGUUCGGACUGGGGCUUUUGGAGCAAGAGAACAGCAACCAGGAGCAGCCACUGCGGGUAGCCUGACUGAGGCGGCGGGGCUGCUGCUGUGCGAAAUGCCGAGCGCGCUGCCGCCGCCAGCCCGGCAGGGGGGAGGCAGCGUUGGCGGCCGAUGACGGUUCUGCUGCGGACGCGGUUACGAGCCACUGGUAUGCGGAUGGGGCGGAUCCAUGCCUGCCGGAAUGCGUGUUGGACCCUGGCGCCGGAUGGAGCACCGCGAUGCUGGCAAUGAGCCAGCGGCGGCUGUCCGCGAGGGAACCUGGAUCAGCGGCAACAGCAGGAGCGCUGUGGCGUGCACAGAGGGUCAGAGCGGAUCUGCCCUAUGGGCCGGCAGGGGGAUGGUACCAACGUGACAGCAAAGGCGACAGCAGCUGCCAUAAGUUGGCGCCUGGUUGCUUUCCUGGCUUGCACGACCCAUGGCGUUAUAGUAUCACGAGUGCACAAAGCUACCAAAGGCGUGGUGUCCUGUCCUCACGGUGUUCGUGCAUAUGCGUGUGUAUUCCUGUGUGCAGCGGCCCUCGUGAGGAUGCCACCCGUAUCGGCUCCGCCGGUGUGGUGCGCCGCCAGGCCGUCGAUAUCUCGCCCCUGCGCCGCGUCAACCAGGUGCGUGUGACCUCUUGAUAUGAGCGCGGGUUCUUCAGCGGGGAUCACGGCGGAUCGGUAGCGGCGGCCAUAUAAGUUCCGGCACUGCCUUCGGCGCAGUCACAGCUUCAGUCACGUGCGCAGCAACGGGUGGGGUGAGGGGCAGCGGACACCCAGGCGUUCAGGUGGAAAGGCGCAACUGCGCUGCUUGAGCUUGGCCAAAAUUGAGGAGCUUGCGGGAUAGCACAGCGGUUGCCAAUCGCUGCGCAUGGACGAACAUGCUUUGAUGAUGUGCUCGGAGUCCAGGGGUUGGAGCUUUGUUGCCCCCGAAUGGGUUGCAUGUCUGGGCAGGUUGAUUGCCAUCAGCCGCAGACGGUUGCCACAUCGCGAGGUGUUAGGAGCAAGCAGUUCUAACAUACGCCGCGCUUUGAAUGGCAGGCAGUUGGCUUGCAGCUUGCCGCCUGUGCGCCGCGGGUGCACAGCUCCGCUAUCCAUGGCUGCUUGCCAGCCGCGACUACUGCACCCCGGCCGCCUACUCACAAAUCGUCUUUGUCCUCUGUGCUUCAUGUGCACAGGCCAUCUACCUGCUGACCACUGGCGCCCGCGAGGCCGCCUUCCGCAACAUCAAGACCAUUGCGGAGUGCCUGGCUGACGAGCUGGUGAACGCUGCCAAGGGCUCGUCCAACAGGUGGGCGCCUGCGUACUAGCACGAUGGGCUAGGAUUGGAGGCGCCAGAGGCCGCCGUGAGGCGGGCGGCAGUGGUGCCGGGUUGGUCAGGCAUCCAAGAAAAAAGUGCCGCGGUUGGGUUCGGGCGAGCGGCACAUGCAUUACGGCACUGCGCCUCCACCACAUUCAAGCACUUGUGAAGUUAUUCGCUCCUGACUUUUCACACAAAUGUGCCGCGCAGCUACGCCAUCAAGAAGAAGGACGAGAUCGAGCGCGUGGCCAAGGCCAACCGCUAAAGGAGCAGCAGCAGGUGCUGCCGCGGAGGUCGCAGGAGCAGCAGCAGGGAGGGAGCAUCCGCAGCCGUGGUGUGGGCUGCUGCGGGCAGUGUGGCCGGGGGUACACUGUGUAACGAUGUACACACG
rnacentral:lncRNA from 1 species